AUGGUGGGUACGAGUUUAAGGAGCUGCCGGCCUCGAGUGGGGUGGGGACUGACAAAUGAGCCAGGGGCACUGGGAAGGGUAGCAGGCCGGGCCGCGGCUCUUCUCCCGUCCUUGCGGCACUGCUGCUGCAUCAUACCGACUGGGGGGAGGAGAGCCGAGCCGCCCAAGGCCAGCGGCGGGCCGGGACAGAGCGACCCCCAGAGAGUAGGCAGAGUGGGACGCGUCCCGACCCCUCUCGGUCGCCGCCAGCCCAGAGCCCGGACCGGCCGGGGAAAGGAGUCCGGGAGGGUAUCUCUAUUGUCCCGGGGGCUGGGGCCUGGCUCCCUAACAAAGGCCCCGCGCCCCCUCCCCGGCCGGCCCUGCCCCGCCCAAGGAGGACCCAGCCAGGGGGAGACCGGGGGGCCCCGGCCCGGCCGGGAAGCCGGGGAAAGCCGGGCGUUUCCGCGUCGGCCCGGGGGAGGGGAAGGGGCGCUGACCCAGACCUGGGGGGAGGGGGCCCAAGCCCCGCCUCGAGCCCCCCCCGCCCCCGCAGGCCCUCCCCGUCCCCGUUCCGUACUCACCCCGCCCGGGGGGCCGCGCCGGGGCCCGGCGGCCUCUCAGGGCCGCGUCCUCCGGCGGCGGCGGCGACGGCGGCUGCUCCGGAGCCCCAUGUCCGUCGGUCCGUCCUCGCCUCUCCCCGGGGCCCGGGCCCGGGGCCGGGGGGUCGGGCUGCCCCCCCGCCUCGCCGCCUCACCGGGCGGCCAUGGCCCCUUCCCCUCCCUUCUCGUCCCGUCGCCGCCUCCUCCUCCUCACCUCACCCCGCCCGCGCGCAGUCCGCGCGCCGUCCGCGCGCCCCUCCCCCGCCCCCCACUCCAGCCCGCCUCUCCCGGGCGGGGGGUGCGGCGCGAGCCCGGAGCGCGCGCGCGUGCCGCGACCGGAGGAUGGAUGGAUGGAGCGAGCGAGGACGCGAGCGUGCGCGCGCGCGCCCCUCUCCCCCCUCCCUCGGCGCGGGCGCGAGGCCAGGCGCGAGCGCGCUCCAACCUCCUCCUCUUCCUCCUCCCGCCCCUCCUCAACACCCCGCCCUCGCCCUCCCUUCCUCUUCCUCCUUUCGCUUUCGCGCGCCCAGCGACAGCUCGCGCUUGCUAG
rnacentral:lncRNA from 1 species